rnacentral:rRNA from 1 species
GCAGUCGCCGCGGGAAUACGAAGGGUGCAAGCGUUACUCGGAAUUACUGGGCGUAAAGCGUGCGUAGGUGGUGGUUUAAGUCCGUUGUGAAAGCCCUGGGCUCAACCUGGGAAUUGUAGUGGAUACUGGGUCACUAGAGUGUGUCAGAGGAUGGUGGAAUUCCCGGUGUAGCGGUGAAAUGCGUAGAGAUCGGGAGGAACAUCAGUGGCGAAGGCGGCCAUCUGGGACAACACUGACGCUGAGGCACGAAAGCGUGGGGAGCAAACAGGAUUAGAUACCCCAGUAGUCCCUGUCUCUUAUAC